CCUACGGGGGGCUGCAGUGGGGAAUAUUGCGCAAUGGGGGCAACCCUGACGCAGCAACGCCGCGUGAUUGAAGAAGGCCUUCGGGUUGUAAAGAUCUUUAAUCGGGGACGAAUUUUGACGGUACCCGAAGAAUAAGCUCCGGCUAACUACGUGCCAGCAGCCGCGGUAAUACGUAGGGAGCAAGCGUUAUCCGGAUUUACUGGGUGUAAAGGGCGUGUAGGCGGGCAUGCAAGCCAGAAGUGAAAUCUGGGGGCUUAACCGCGGAACUGCAUUUGAAACUGUUUUUCUUGAGUACCGGAGAGGUCAUCGGAAUUCCUUGUGUAGCGGUGAAAUGCGUAGAUAUAAGGAAGAACACCAGUGGCGAAGGCGGAUGACUGGACGGCAACUGACGGUGAGGCGCGAAAGCGUGGGGAGCAAACAGGAUUAGAUACCCCAGUAGUC
rnacentral:rRNA from 1 species